GCGCUGAUGAUCUAACGGUAUGAUAAAACCUUCCCAAGGUUUCUGCCCGGGUUCAACUCCCGGUCGGCGCA
rnacentral:tRNA from 1 species